CAGCUGCACGCCCCGUGGCUCCAGAUCUCUUCGUCUUUGCAGCAUAUCCCGAGUCGCUCAGCGCCGAAGGACCUCAGCAGCCAUGUCGAAGCCCGAUAGUGAAGCCGGGACUGCCUUCAUUCAGACCCAGCAGCUGCACGCAGCCAUGGCUGACGCAUUCCUGGAGCACCUGUACCGCCUGGACGUUGAUUCACCGCCCAUCACAGCCCGGAACACUGGCAUCCUCUGUACCAUUGGCCCAGCUUCCCGAUCAGUGGAGACGUUGAAGGAGAUGAUUAAGUCUGGAAUGAAUGUGGCUCGUCUGAACUUCUCUCAUGGAACUCACGAGUACCACGCGGAGACCAUCAGGAAUGUGCGCACAGCCACGGAAAGCUUUGCUUCUGACCAGCCCGUUGCUGUGGCUGUAGACACUAAAGGACCUGAGAUCCGAACUGGGCUCAUCAAGGGUGGCGGCACUGCAGAGGUGGAGCCGAAGAAGGGAGCCACUCUCAAAAUCACGCUGAUAACGCCUACGUGGAAACGUGUGACGAGAACACCCUGUGGCUGGACUACAAGAACAUCUGCAAGGUGGCGGAAGUGGGCAGCAAGAUCUACGUGGGUGACGGGCUUAUUUCUCUCCAGGUGAAGCAGAAAGGUGCCGACUUCCUGGUGACGGAGGUGGAAAAUGGUGGCUCCUUGGGCAGCAAGAAGGGCGUGAACCUUCCUGGGGCUGCUGCGGACUUGCCUGCUGUGUCGGAGAAGGACAUCCAGGAUCUGUAAGUUUGGGGUCGAGCAGGAUGUUGACACGGUGUUUGCGUCGUUCAUCCGCAAGGCAUCUGAUGUCCGUGAAGUGAGGAAGGUCCUGGGAGAGAAGGGAAAGAACAUCAAGAUAAUCGGCAAAAUCGAGAAUCGUGAGCGGGUUCGGAGGUUUCGUGAAAUCCUGGAGGCCAGUGAUGGGAUCACGGUGGCUCGUGGUGAUCUAGGCAUUGAGACUCCUGCAGAGAAGGUCUUCCUUGCUCAGAAGAUGGUGAUUGGACGGCGCAACCGAGCUGGGAAGCCUGUCAUCUGUGCUCCUCAGAUGCUGGAGAGCGUGAUCAAGAAGGCCCGCCCCACUCGGGCUGAAGGCAGUGAUGUGGCCAGUGCAGUCCUGGAUGGAGCCGACUGCAUCAUGCUGUCUGGAGAAACAGCCAAAGGGGAAGGUCCUCUGGAGGCUGUCCGCAUGCAGCACGUGACUGCCCGGGAGGCAGAGGCCGCCAUCUACCGCUUGCAUCAUCUGAGGAACUCCGCCGCCUGGCGCCCAUUACCAGCGACCCCACAGAAGCCACCGCCGUGGAUGCCUCCUUCGAGUGCUGCAGUGGGGCCAUAAUCGUCCUCACCAAGUCUGGCAGGUCUGCUCACCAGGUGGCCAGAUACCGCCCACGUGCCCCCGUCAUGGCCGUGACCCGGAAUCCCCAGACAGCUCGUCAGGCCCACCUGUACCGUGUCAUCUUCCCUGUGCUGUGCAAGGACCCAGUCUAGGAGGCCUGAGGCUGUGGACCUCGGGGUGAACUUUGCCAUGAAUGUUGGCAACGCCGGAGGCUUCUGCAAGAAGGGAGACGUGGUCAUUGUGCUGACCGGAUGGCGCCCUGGCUCCGGCUUCGCCAACACCACGCGUGUCAUUCCUCACCUCCAGGCCUGUUGCUAA